rnacentral:rRNA from 1 species
UACGUAGGGGGCAAGCGUUGUCCGGAAUCAUUGGGCGUAAAGCGCGUGUAGGCGGUUCAGUAAGUCUGCUGUGAAAGUCCAGGGCUCAACCCUGGGAUGCCGGUGGAUACUGCUGGGCUAGAGUACGGAAGAGGCGAGUGGAAUUCCCGGUGUAGCGGUGAAAUGCGCAGAUAUCGGGAGGAACACCAAUUGCGAAGGCAGCUCGCUGGGACGUUACUGACGCUGAGACGCGAAAGCGUG